CGGGUGAGUAACACGUGGGUAACCUGCCCAUAAGACUGGGAUAACUCCGGGAAACCGGGGCUAAUACCGGAUAACAUUUUGAACCGCAUGGUUCGAAAUUGAAAGGCGGCUUCGGCUGUCACUUAUGGAUGGACCCGCGUCGCAUUAGCUAGUUGGUGAGGUAACGGCUCACCAAGGCAACGAUGCGUAGCCGACCUGAGAGGGUGAUCGGCCACACUGGGACUGAGACACGGCCCAGACUCCUACGGGAGGCAGCAGUAGGGAAUCUUCCGCAAUGGACGAAAGUCUGACGGAGCAACGCCGCGUGAGUGAUGAAGGCUUUCGGGUCGUAAAACUCUGUUGUUAGGGAAGAACAAGUGCUAGUUGAAUAAGCUGGCACCUUGACGGUACCUAACCAGAAAGCCACGGCUAACUACGUGCCAGCAGCCGCGGUAAUACGUAGGUGGCAAGCGUUAUCCGGAAUUAUUGGGCGUAAAGCGCGCGCAGGUGGUUUCUUAAGUCUGAUGUGAAAGCCCACGGCUCAACCGUGGAGGGUCAUUGGAAACUGGGAGACUUGAGUGCAGAAGAGGAAAGUGGAAUUCC
rnacentral:rRNA from 1 species